rnacentral:rRNA from 1 species
UACAGGGGGUGCAAGCGUUGUUCGGAAUCACUGGGCGUAAAGAGUUCGUAGGCGGACCAAUUAGUAUGGGGUUAAAUCCCGGGGCCUAACCCCGGAUCUGCUCCGUAAACGGUUGGUCUAGAGUAUUGGAGAGGAUAGCGGAAUUCCAGGGUGUAGAGGUGAAAUUCGUAGAUAUCGUGGAGGAACACCUGAGGCGAAGGCGGCUAUCGUGGCAAGCACUGACGCUAAAGAACGAAAGCGUGGG